AUGUGUGUCCCGAAAAGCCAAGGCGGGAUGGGCUUUCGUGACAUUCAUUGUUUUAAUUUGGGAAUGUUGGCUAAACAAGCUUGGCGUCUUCUUGAGAACCCAGAUUCCUUGUGUACCACCAUUUUGCGAGCUAAGUAUUUCCCUGAUGGAGAUUUAUUGAACGGAAAGUUAAAAAAAGGAUCAUCCUUCAAAUGUAAAAGUACUAUGGUGGGGGUUAAUACCUUAAAACAUGGCUAUAUUUGGCGAGUUGGAAACGGUCAGAAAAUUGACAUUUGGGAAGAUGCUUGGAUCCCUAACUGUGCUAACAGAAAAGUCAUCACUCCAAAGGGGCAACAUUUGUUAUCAAAAGUGUUGGAUUUCAUUGUCCCCUCUUCUAAUAGGUGGGAUGAGGAUCUCAUGAGACAGACCUUGUGGCCCGUCGAUUCACAUUGGGUCCUUGAUAUCCCUCUACCUCAGUUUGAUAUGUUAGAUUUUGUUGCCUGGAGUCAUACUAAGAGUGGGAUUUUUUUGUUCAAUCUGCAUAUUUUGUUGAGUGGGAUUAUCAUCAUGGAAAGAAACUUCGUCGUACUAAUGGAAUGGGUCAAACAAACUUUAAUCCAAUUUGGUGUAAGAUUUGGAAGUUAUCUUGGCCAGCGAAGGUGA
rnacentral:rRNA from 1 species